rnacentral:rRNA from 1 species
GACGAACGCUGGCGGCGUGCUUAACACAUGCAAGUCGAACGGAAAGGCCCUGCUUUUGUGGGGUGCUCGAGUGGCGAACGGGUGAGUAACACGUGAGUAACCUGCCCUUGACUUUGGGAUAACUUCAGGAAACUGGGGCUAAUACCGGAUAGGAGCUCCUGCUGCAUGGUGGGGGUUGGAAAGUUUCGGCGGUUGGGGAUGGACUCGCGGCUUAUCAGCUUGUUGGUGGGGUAGUGGCUUACCAAGGCUUUGACGGGUAGCCGGCCUGAGAGGGUGACCGGCCACAUUGGGACUGAGAGACGGCCCAGACUCCUACGGGAGGCAGCAGUGGGGAAUAUUGCACAAUGGGCGGAAGCCUGAUGCAGCAACGCCGCGUGCGGGAUGACGGCCUUCGGGUUGUAAACCGCUUUCGCCUGUGACGAAGCGUGAGUGACGGUAAUGAGUAAAGAAGCACCGGCUAACUACGUG